AUGGAGGAGCAACUCGCAGCGUUGAUCCAAUCGGUCAAGGAGGGUCGCGCCGCCAACGACGCCAAGCUGGAGGCGAUCCAGCAGUCGCUGGAACUCUGGCGACCAGCGGUCCAGAACCUGCAAGGUCAGAUCGACGAGCUCCGAACUCAAGUGGGUCGGAUCGCGCUGCAUUCCGUCCUCGCGGAUCCGGCGGCCACCGAGGAAGGAACCGCGCGGGCGCCACCGCCUGCCGCGUCGGGGCACUUGGGGCCAAGUGGCCACGGCGAGGUCGACGACUCCGGGGGUGUGGUUCACGGGGUGGUCACCAUCCUGGUACCGCCUCCAGUCAAGGGUGCGUUACCUUCUUCCUUCUCGGAUAAUCCAGUACAAGGGGAUCUGGAAUUGGUUCAUGGGUCGAUGAGGGAAGGGCCGCAACAUCACGCCCAGCAUGCGUCGCUCGCGCAUUGGGCUUUGCCCAGACUUGAUUUUCCACAAUUCGAUGGGGAUAACCCUCAAUUCUGGAAAACUAAGUGCGAGAAGUAUUUUGAUGUCUAUGGAGUCAGUAGGGAUGUGUGGGUGCGGGUAGCGACUUUGCACUUUACGGGUAACGCUGCCCGAUGGCUGCAAUUGUACGAGUCGGGGAUGAAAACUAUAGAGUGGGAAGAGUUGUGUGCUGCACCCCGUAGUAAAUUCGGACGCGACCAAUAUCAGGCGCAACUCCGUCAAUUUGCUCUUAGUGCAGACGAGUUCGGUGUCGGAUUAUAUGACACAGUUCGAGGAGUUAAUGCAUAA
rnacentral:rRNA from 1 species